rnacentral:rRNA from 1 species
GAGCGCAACCCUUGCCAUUAGUUGCUACGAAAGGGCACUCUAAUGGGACUGCCGGUGACAAACCGGAGGAAGGUGGGGAUGACGUCAAGUCCUCAUGGCCCUUAUAGGUGGGGCUACACACGUCAUACAAUGGCCGGUACAGAGGGUAGCCAACCCGCGAGGGGGAGCCAAUCCCACAAAGCCAUUCGUAGUCCGGAUCGCAGUCUGCAACUCGACUGCGUGAAGUCGGAAUCGCUAGUAAUCGUGGAUCAGAAUGUCACGGUGAAUACGUUCCCGGGUCUU